AUUGAACGCUGGCGGCAGGCCUAACACAUGCAAGUCGAGCGGAGCGGCGGACGGGUGAGUAAUGCCUAGGAAUCUGCCUGGUAGUGGGGGAUAACGUCCGGAAACGGGCGCUAAUACCGCAUACUGAUGGAUGGACCCGCGGUGCAUUAGCUAGUUGGUGGGGUAAAGGCCUACCAAGGCGACGAUCCGUAACUGGUCUGAGAGGAUGGUCAGCCACACUGGAACUGAGACACGGUCCAGACUCCUACGGGAGGCAGCAGGGGGGAAUAUUGGACAAUGGGCGAAAGCCUGAUCCAGCCAUGCCGCGUGUGUGAAGAAGGUCUUCGGAUUGUAAAGCACUUUAAGUUGGGAGGCGUUACCAACAGAAUAAGCACCGGCUAACUUCGUGCCAGCAGCCGCGGUAAUUC
rnacentral:rRNA from 1 species